GCAAUUGCUGCCAAAUGUGCAUCAACAAAGUAUAGAGCAAAUUAUGUGAAUGGUUAUGUACUUUUUAUUGUUAAUACAUUUGCAAAAUUUCCAAAAAUACGAUUUUCCACAUUGUCAUUAUGGGCUAUUAUGUGUAGAAUUUUGAGGACAAAAACACAUGUAUUCCAUUAAUAUAACACAUUGUGGAAAAAGUGACGCACUAUAAAUUUUUUCCCGAAUGCACUGUACCUCAGUUUUCCUACAGACAGACCUAGGCUACUGCAAUGUGCCAAUGCAGUCCAGAAGAUCUGGCAGAACCUACCCCAUCAGUUGUGGCCUGUUCCCGAUACUGUCAGAAUAAGUUUUCCUACGCCCCUCCCCCUUUCAUAGGAUUUGUUUUUUGAUGAAAACAUUCCCAAAGUAAGUUUUAAGUGCCAGUACUGUAAUAUAUAGGUUAACAAACAUUUAAUUAUACAUGAAACUCUUAGUGAACUACUUCCUCCCUCUCGGUUUAUUGCUGUUUACUGAUACAGUUUUGUGGCUGUGAAUACAUGGUUGCCCUUUCCUAUCAGCUCCAGACUAUUCACCCCUUCAUACCAGGACACACAAAAGGUCUCGGGACAGCCGCGACCACAAUGCCGAUGGUUGGCUGAGGUGAAGUAGAGAUUGGACUACCACAAAGCCCAUUGCUGUCAUCCACUGUCUUGGUUUUACCCUCUAUGGGUAAUGUUGGAGACGACAGAGUUGCAGUUUGAGGCUGGAAGCAGUGCAUGUCGGCGGUGGGGACAAAAGCUGAGCCCGUUUGCAGGGGUUUAACCUCUGAAGGCAAGAAAAACAAUAUUAUGACUAUUAAUUGUCUGUGAUUAUCAUCAUUGAAUUCAUCCAGGGCAUUGAAUUAAUCACAAGUGGACUGUUCAGGUUGUUUUAAAAGACCUUUCGCUUCUCAUCUGAGUGGGCUUAUUCAGUUCAUGCUCAAGACUAGAUAGCACAGUUCUAGUCUGAGAGCACGCUGUGGGAUCCAAAACUGAACGUCUUCUAAGACAACCUGAACAGUCCUCUCAAUCAAGUCAAUAUAUGACUAGUAACUGUGUUCCAUUAGGAAUUGCAUAAGAAAUUGCCAUUACAAUAAUAAAUAAUAUAUAUGUGUGUAAUGAUUCGUUUUAACAAGGAUUUGAUUCUAUUCAGAAUUUGUGGUUGCCAAUAUGAUUCAGGGACGCUAAUAUUUUUUGGGAAUUAUAUGAUCCGAAAAGAUUCAGUGAGUUGAGAUCGAUUCAGUAGUUUUUUAGCAAAAGAUUCCACCAGUGUGACUGUAAAAUACAUACUAGAUACUGCAGGUGAAGUUUUCUAUAUUCCUGUAUAUUCUUGUAAGGGAAUUAAUGAAAGUUACAGUGGUUAAAAUAGCCCAAAAUAAUGUGUACUUUAAUGUCUAUUGAUCAUGUCAUGUAUUACCUUCAGUGCAACCUCAUCCGUAAAUGUACAGUACAUGAUACUCAGUAAUACAUUGCAGUUGUCUUGGCACAUAAAAUGUCCUUAACUUUAUAGUCAAAUAUUCAAAAUUUUCAAAGCAGGCUAUCUGUGUUGGCUUUGCGAAAAGGUGCCGUCCAAGGUGUACACUGCCUAGGACAGGGGUCUGCAACCUUUACCACUCAAAAAACCAUUUUGACCCGUUUCACAAAAUAAAGAAGACAAUGGGAGCCGCAACCAUUCUCGCCAAUAUCUGCUGGUGGUCAUCCAGACAACAAUAAUAAGGGCGUGCUAUGAAGCCAUUGUCUUAGACGCCUUCUACAACAUGUAUAAAAUGCUUGGCAGUCCAGCAAAAUGUUGUAUGUGGCUUCCGCAGAUACACGUACACGACUGCAAGGCAUACUGGGUGAUACAGUUUACACUGACGGUUGUGAUAUAAACAUCUUUAACACUCUUACUAAUUAAUAUGCACCACACUGUGAACCCACAACAAACAAGAAUGACAAACACAUUUCAGGAGAACCUCCCCACAGUAACACAACAUAAACGCAACACAACAAAUACCCAGAA